rnacentral:rRNA from 1 species
UAGGGAAUCUUCGGCAAUGGGGGGAACCCUGACCGAGCAACGCCGCGUGAGUGAAGAAGGUUUUCGGAUCGUAAAGCUCUGUUGUUAAGGAAGAACGAGUGUGAGAAUGGAAAGUUCAUACUGUGACGGUACUUAACCAGAAAGGGACGGCUAACUACGUGCCAGCAGCCGCGGUAAUACGUAGGUCCCGAGCGUUGUCCGGAUUUAUUGGGCGUAAAGCGAGCGCAGGCGGUUAGAAAAGUCUGAAGUGAAAGGCAGUGGCUCAACCAUUGUAGGCUUUGGAAACUGGUUAACUUGAGUGCAGAAGGGGAGAGUGGAAUUCCAUGUGUAGCGGUGAAAUGCGUAGAUAUAUGGAGGAACACCGGUGGCGAAAGCGGCUCUCUGGUCUGUAACUGACGCUGAGGCUCGAAAGCGUGGGGAGCGAACAGG